AUGGGAGAUUACCUUUUUACCUAUAAGGGUGUAUUUUUAUGAUUCUAUGCUGUGAAAAAAGUGAAUAUACAAUAUUAUGUUAUUAACCUUUCUGGUCUCAUAUAAGGAGAUUUAAGCUGUGCUGCAUUCCUGUCCGUACUCCCACCUCUGAUACUCUCCUUCAAGACUUCUCGAGGGCUGCACCGUUUCUGUGGAACUCACUUCCCUCCUCCGUUAGAUGCUCACCCAGUCUCCACUCCUUCAAAAAAGUCAUUAAAAACCCACUUCAUAAAAGCGUAUCAAUUAAACUGUUUUAAUAGCUCCUGACUGAUUCCUCUCUUGCAACUGUCAUUAGUCUAAUACUAUCCUUACCUUUUGUGUCCCUUUACCCCACUCCUUCUAGCAUGUAAGCUCAUUGUUCCUGUGUGUCCAACUUGUCUGGUUACAACUACAUGUCUGUUCAUCCACCCACUGUAAAGCGCUGUGGAAUUUGUUGGCGCUAUAUAAAUAAUAACAUCAUAAUUCCUGUUGCAUCUUUAUGUGAACCUUUAUGUGUAGUCUGCUAUAUC